AAAAAGUAGUAUACAUCUCCUUCAUUUCAUGAGCUAUGGCAAGCCUCGCGUUGCCGAAACGGUUAAAGUCUCGUGUUUGUAGCAAGUUUUGUGAUAAAGGGGUUUCAUUUUCUGGUAUUGGGAUAAACUCAUGAUGGAUGGUUCAUGUUUUUGUUGCUGAUUACAAUCAUGAGCUAUAAUAAACUUUUAUUCGUCCAUACAUAUCUAUGUAGCCUAGUGUGCCUAUAAUUAAAUAGAGACAUCGACAAGCUUUCCCAGACAUCUCAAAUCAAAUCAAAACAACUUACAGAAUAACAGCAAUCUCGACAAGGUUUACAAGUUUUCAUCUUUCCCACAUCCAAUGCAACAAAUUCCGUCACGAACUAUAACACACACACACACACACACUACUAGAUUAGAUGAUAUGUUGUUCUAUUAAUGCACAGAACAGGUUGACUGACAAUUGCUUUUCAUGUUUAUUUUUUCCAGGCAAAAGCGAGCACUCCAGCAUGGACAGGAACAACUCAGAACUUUACUUGAAGAACUGCCAGAUCUUUCAAGAGAAUGAGAGGCUCAGGAAGCAAGCUG
rnacentral:lncRNA from 1 species